rnacentral:rRNA from 1 species
AUUGAACGCUAGCGGGAUGCUUUACACAUGCAAGUCGAACGGCAGCGCGGACUUCGGUCUGGCGGCGAGUGGCGAACGGGUGAGUAAUGUAUCGGAACGUGCCCAGUAGCGGGGGAUAACUACGCGAAAGCGUAGCUAAUACCGCAUACGCCCUACGGGGGAAAACAGGGGAUCGUAAGACCUUGCACUAUUGGAGCGGCCGAUAUCGGAUUAGCUAGUUGGUGAGGUAACGGCUCACCAAGGCGACGAUCCGUAGCUGGUUUGAGAGGACGACCAGCCACACUGGGACUGAGACACGGCCCAGACUCCUACGGGAGGCAGCAGUGGGGAAUUUUGGACAAAGGGGGCAACCCUGAUCCAGCCAUCCCGCGUGUGCGAUGAAGGCCUUCGGGUUGUAAAGCACUUUUGGCAGGAAAGAAACGUCGCGGGCUAAUACCCCGUGGAACUGACGGUACCUGCAGAAUAAGCACCGGCUAACUACGUG